AUGGAGCGAGCGAGAAUAGCGGCGGCAGCGAGAACUUGGCACGCGGGCGAGGGACUUGGCGCACGGAGGAGGCCAGUGGGAGGAAGAGCAUCCCAAGCGCGCUCGGGGUUGAGCCCGCAUGCGAGGUUCUCGGAGGGUGAGGCAUGGCGCACAGGGGCUCGGCUUCCUGGUGGUACUCCGGCGAAGACGACCGGAGCGGCGGUGGUCGGCGGGCGUGACGCAGUUGGAGGGCGCCACGGCGCGCGGGGAUGGGGUAGCAGAGGGGCGCGCAGGCGCUGGAGGUGUCGGGUCGGUGGUGGAUCAUGGCGGCAGGGAAACGCGAGACAUGGAGAUGUGGGAGACGUGGCCCUCGAGCUCCAGCAGCGAGACGACAAAGGAGGACGAGCGGGGGCCGGGCGGUGA
rnacentral:rRNA from 1 species